GGGGAUCCAGCCGCAUUAGACACGAGUGACCUUUUAAAUCUACGCCCACUCUUUACCUGCGAGAGGACUGCAGCAGGCGAGUUCCGGAAGGCUGAUUGCCCAGAUCCCGGCCCCGGACCGCGGCAGCAGCCCCCGCGGCACGCCCGGCCAGGCUACGCCUGGACUCCGAGACCGAGGAAAAAGCCUGGAUCCGAAAGGAUGGGGGAGAACAAAGAGCCUUUGGAAGACGUCGCUGUUAUCUCAUUGUCUGUGUGAUUGGGGAGCUGCGAGACAGCCCAGGCCCAGAUCUCUGUUUAAGUGGAAAAGAAAUUGAUUCUUUAACAAAGACAAAGAAUGGAGUCCUCUGGGGGCAGCUGCAAAGCAUUCUCCCUAGGACAGAUGGAGCCUCCCUUCCACAUCUCCUCUGUGGGUGGUUUUAGAGCUCCAUGAGUCAACAUGGGCUGAGGGUUGUGCUGGUGGUAUGUGUGUUUGAGGCUUGCCUGGCUGAUUCAUGGUGAUGAGUAUGUCAAUAAUAACAAUUAUGAGAAUUAUGAUACCUAAUAAAGAUCUUGUUUUCUUCCAAGU